rnacentral:tRNA from 1 species
AUUACUUUGGCAGAAUAGUGCAUUAAAUUUAGAAUUUAAAUAAUAAAUUAAUAUUUAAGUAAUA